UUAAGGGUAAGCUAAGUUAAGCUAUUGGGUUCAUACCCCAAAAAUGGGAAUCCCCUUGAA
rnacentral:tRNA from 1 species